rnacentral:rRNA from 1 species
AGUGGCGCACGGGUGCGUAACGCGUAUACAAUCUACCUUUUACAGGGGGAUAGCCCAGAGAAAUUUGGAUUAAUAUCCCAUAGUAUUAUUUAUUGGCAUCGAUUAAUAAUUAAAGCUUCGGCGGUAAAAGAUGAGUAUGCGUUCUAUUAGCUAGUAGGUGUGGUGACGGCACACCUAGGCAACGAUAGAUAGGGGCCCUGAGAGGGGGAUCCCCCACACUGGUACUGAGACACGGACCAGACUCCUACGGGAGGCAGCAGUGAGGAAUAUUGGACAAUGGGCGAGAGCCUGAUCCAGCCAUGCCGCGUGCAGGAUGACUGCCCUAUGGGUUGUAAACUGCUUUUAUACAGGAAGAAACGGCUUUACGUGUAGAGCUCUGACGGUACUGUAAGAAUAAGGAUCGGCUAACUCCGUGCCAGCAGCCGCGGUAAUACGGAGGAUCCAAGCGUUAUCCGGAAUCAUUGGGUUUAAAGGGUCCGUAGGUGGAUAAUUAAGUCAGAGGUGAAAUCCUGCAGCUCAACUGUAGAAUUGCCUUUGAUACUGGUUAUCUUGAGUUACUAUGAAGUAGUUAGAAUAUGUAGUGUAGCGGUGAAAUGCAUAGAUAUUACAUAGAAUACCAAUUGCGAAGGCAGAUUACUAAUAGUACACUGACACUGAUGGACGAAAGCGUGGGGUAGCGAACGGGAUUAUAUACCCCGGUAGUCCACGCCGUAAACGAUGGUCACUAGCUGUUCGGACUUUUUUGUCUGAGUGGCUGA